rnacentral:rRNA from 1 species
CCUACGGGGGGCAGCAGUAGGGAAUAUUGCUCAAUGGGGGAAACCCUGAAGCAGCAACGCCGCGUGGAGGAUGAAGGUUUUCGGAUUGUAAACUCCUUUUGUUAGAGAAGAUAAUGACGGUAUCUAACGAAUAAGCACCGGCUAACUCCGUGCCAGCAGCCGCGGUAAUACGGAGGGUGCAGGCGUUACUCGGAAUCACUGGGCGUAAAGAGGGCGUAGGCGGGAUAGAAAGUCAGAUGUGAAAUCCUAUGGGUUAACCAUAGAACUGCAUUUGAAACUGUUAUUCUAGAGUAUGGGAGAGGUAGGUGGAAUGCUUGGUGUAGGGGUAAAAUCCGUAGAGAUCAAGAAGAAUACUCAUUGCGAAGGCAACCUGCUAGAACAUAACUGACGCUGAUGCGCGAAAGCGUGGGGAGCGAACAGGAUUAGAUACCCGUGUAGUC